rnacentral:tRNA from 1 species
GGAGAGGUGGCUGAGCGGUCGAAAGCGGCAGUCUUGAAAACUGUUGUGGGCGUAAGUCCACCGGGGGUUCGAAUCCCUCCCUCUCCG